ACCCUAUGCCUGUAAUCAGAUCAAAUCAAAGCAAUAAAGUACAAAGGCACGUCACGGGCCUUUAGCCAUCAACUCGUGUGUUCUCUCGUCUGUGUUUCCGGCGACUUGUACGUAGCCGCCGGCUAAUUGCUAGUUUCAACUAGCUAGCUUUCCACGUACGUCUUCAAGCCAAGAAUCGAUCCACGUCCACGACUCCGACGGAAAGUACUUGUCUACGAGUAGUGCGACGUAUAUCGGGACCUAGUGCCAACAAGCGGUCCAGCUCCGCGAACGCGUCGAUCGAACCAGUCAUGUGGUUCGUUGCGCCGGUGUCGAGGAACCAACCCUCACUUUGCUUGCCGCCUGCAAGCGUGGGUGUGGUCACGGCUCUCUCCUCAUUGAGGAAGACGUAGCCGCACGCACAUGCCGUUGUCAGGGAACCAUCUCCCGUCAACACGAUGGACCUCGAACACUUUGUUGUCAGGGUGUGGCUGACCUGAGUCUCCGUGCGCUCUUGCACGGAGUCGAUGGUCGCCAGCAUCAUGGUCGGAGCAUGGUCCGCCGUAUGCGUCGUUGCCGCGCCAACUUGCGCGACCUCGUCGGGUCCCGAGUUCGGGGAUGCCGUCGCCGGGGUGUGGCUCCCCCACACCCGAGCCUUCAUCGCCUCCCAGUCGACAGGCCCCGAAAACGUCGUUGUCGAGGUGUGGCCUAUCACUGGAGUGAUGGUUCCCGUGGACGGGUUUCGUGCCUCCUACACGGAAUGGGUGGUUGUCAGAGCCGUGGUCGCGAGAGACGCUGUGCUCUCCUGCACGGGCUCGACUCUUGCCAGCAUCAUUGCCGGCCCGCCGGCCACGUCAGCCUGGACAAGGUUUGUCGUUGCUGCGGCUGCCUCGUCGGCUUUCCUCCUGCGGCAAUCCCGGAUCCAGUGACCCGACAUGUUGCAGUAGCGGCACUUGCCACCGUUGCCAGUGCCUCGCCCUGCCUGGCUUGGCUUGCGACCGCGGUUGCCGCCACCGCUCUGGGUGCGGCCUCCGCCUCUGUCGCGACCUCUUCUUCCCGUGGGGGCGCCUCCCCCACUGCGGGAAGAGCCGUCGUGGCCGCGCUGCUGACAGGUGAGCAGUAGUUCGCCGGCGGCGCGGUUGUUGGCUUCGUCUCCGCGCUCCUCGAUGACCUUGAGUCGCCCUACCAGCUCCUCGAUCGUCAUGGUGGAGAGAUCCACCAAGCUCUCGAUGGACCAAGCCAGUUACUUGUACUGCCUGGGGACGACGCGGAAAAACUUGAGAAUCACCAUCUUGUUGUCGAUGGGAUCUCCGAGCGUUGCGAGCUUGGUGACGAGACCUUGCAGCCGCAAGGAGAAGUCGUCGACUUGUUCACCGGCCUUGAACCGGAUCUCCUCGUACUGGAGGCGCAAGGUCUGGGCCUUCGACUCCCGUACGCGCUCCACACCAAUGCGCAGAGUCUUGAUGGUGUCCCAUGCUUCCUUGGCCGUCUUCUUGGCGCCAAGGGGUGAGCACCAUCUCCGUUGGGACGGAGCGCAAGAUCGCCUCCAUCGCCAGCCGGUCCUCCUCGUACUCGACAUCGCCGGUUUCCAUGGCUUUCCACACAUGCCGCGCCUCCAUGAUGACUUUCAUCAGGACGGACCAACUGGGAUAGUUGGUCCACGUGAGGAGAGGGAAGGAGGCACUGGACAUGCCCAUGUCUCGCACGGAGCGUGGUGCACCCAGCUCACCUCCCGGCCUGCCUCGCACCGCGAGCGCGUCCGCCGCACAGGUGUCCUUAGCCGAGCUCUGCUCGGCGGUCUUGGAACCGUCGUCGGCGACGCCUCCUUUCGGCAUAUGCUUUGGCAUAACCUGAGGCUCUGAUGCCAAUUGUCAGCCCAAACUAUAGAGUAGCUAGGUACCGAGGAUUGAUCACAGCAGAGUAAAAUGGCUAGCACGAACUAGUAGCACACACUUGCUAUAUUCUGGACUCAAACACAGAUACAAGUGAUAGAGCUGUACUAGCACUACUACUACUUACGCUACAGAAGCUAGCUUGCUUCUUUGUUCUGGCGCUGGAUAUAAAUGAAA
rnacentral:rRNA from 1 species